rnacentral:rRNA from 1 species
AUUGAACGCUGGCGGCGUGCUUAACACAUGCAAGUCGAUCGGUAACGCGGGGGCAACCCUGGCGACGAGAGGCGGACGGGUGAGGAACGCUUGGGAAUCUGCCCAUCAGCGGGGGACAACCCGGGGAAACUCGGGCUAAUACCGCAUACGCUCUACGGAGGAAAGCCGGGGACCGCAAGGCCUGGCACUGAUGGAUGAGCCCAAGUCGGAUUAGCUAGUUGGCGGGGUAACGGCCCACCAAGGCGACGAUCCGUAGCUGGUCUGAGAGGACGAUCAGCCACACUGGGACUGAGACACGGCCCAGACUCCUACGGGAGGCAGCAGUGGGGAAUAUUGGACACUGGGGGCAACCCUGAUCCAGCGACGCCGCGUGGGUGAAGAAGGCCUGCGGGUUGUAAAGCCCUUUCGAUGGGGACGAAAGCUUCCGACCUAACACGUCGGGAGUCUGACUUAACCCAUAUAAGAAGCACCGGCUAACUCUGUGCCAGCCGCCGCGGUAAAAC